UGGGGAAUAUUGCACAAUGGGCGCAAGCCUGAUGCAGCCAUGCCGCGUGUGUGAAGAAGGCCUUCGGGUUGUAAAGUACUUUCAGCGGGGAGGAAGGGAGUAAAGUUAAUACCUUUACUCAUUGACGCUACCCGCAGAAGAAGCACCGGCUAACUCCGUGCCAGCAGCCGCGGUAAUACGGAGGGUGCAAGCGUUAAUCGGAAUUACUGGGCGUAAAGCGCACGCAGGCGGUUUGUUAAGUCAGAUGUGAAAUCCCCGGGCUCAACCUGGGAACUGCAUCUGAUACUGGCAAGCUUGAGUCUCGUAGAGGGGGGUAGAAUUCCAGGUGUAGCGGUGAAAUGCGUAGAGAUCUGGAGGAAUACCGGUGGCGAAGGCGGCCCCCUGGACAAAGACUGACGCUCAGGUGCGAAAGCGUGGGGAGCAAACAGG
rnacentral:rRNA from 1 species